rnacentral:lncRNA from 1 species
UCCAGCCUGGAUGACAAAGUGAGACUCUAUCUCAAGAAAAAAAAAAAGAAAAGAAAGAAGUAGAAAGUGAUCAACUUUGUAAAAUACUGCCACUAAAUCCAGUAAGACGAUGAUUGAGAACUAACCAUUGUUGUUUUUAGCAAUACUGAUAUCAAAAAUGACCUGGAUGCCAAUUUCUAUCAAGUUUUAGGGGUGAGCCUGAUUGAAGCAGGUUUAAAACAGAAUGGCAGCAAGAUUAAGUGCUCUUAAAUCAUUUGACAAAACAUUUGUGGACAUAAUUUUUAUCGUGGACUUUUUAGUAGAGUAUCAGCUAUGAUUCAAUCCAUGUAGCAAUAGCUUAUUCUUCAGAAUGAUGUUCUGCAGGAGUAAGAAGUAUGCUAUGAAAAAAAAAAUCAUGUUUAAAUAGAUUUGUGAAAUCUGGGUUGGGAUUCAAACCUUGCUAAAUAUGUUUCUUUUUAGGUGAGUGCUAGGGUUUGAAUGGUUAUGUCCUCCCCAUAUUCCUAUAGUAUUAGUAGAUAGGGCCUUUGGGUAAUUAGGUCAGGAGGCAGAAUUCUCAUGAAUGGGAUUAGUGCCCUUGUAAAAAGGGCCCAAGGGAGAUCACUCAUUUUUUUCUACAUGUGAGGUUAGAGAAGAUCUAUGAGGAAGAGGGCUGUCACCAGACAGUCAAUCUGCUAGUGCCUUCAUCUUAGACUUCUUAGCCCCUAGAACUGUGAGAAAUAAAGUUCUGUUUUUUAUAAGCCACGCAGUCUAUGGCAUCUUGUUAUGCAAGUCUGAACAGACUGAGACAGUGAGCUGCUCAGAAUUCUCAACAUACUAAUCUAUGUUGUGAAUCUUUGGUAGCGAUACCAAAUAUUGUUUGCCCAAUUUAUUGGACCAUGGAAACAUUUUUACUAAGUACCCUUAACCAUAUCCAAGUGUGCCACAGUAAAAGUUUGGUAAAUACUGGCCUAAAUAAAAGUGAAAAAAAAUCAUAUAAUAAACCUUUGGAACAUGUGCAUGAACACAUACCAAAGCAAGGAUGAUAGCAUAUAUUAUGUUGGUACUUGUGUUGCAUUAUUAAAAAAAAAGUAUUUGAAUUUACUAUGAUUGAAAAAGAUUAUCCUAUCAGAGCCCAUUAUGAUGGGCUUUAGCCUACAUUUCAUCAACAAGCUUUUCUUCUUUUGAUCACUGUUGUAGCUACUUGAAUAAUAUUGUUUCCUCAGGAGUAUUUUAUACCUACAAUAGCCAUCAUCAAGCAAAUUAUAAGAGGACUAUUAUGUAAAUGAAAACUCCUUUAUUAUUCUCCCAAGAAAAUAAAAGCUAAUAAUUUUUGUUGUUAUAGUUUUACAAUAAGACAGUAUUUGCAGACAGAAAAAUCAAACUGUGACUAUUAAGAUAAAUGGGAAAUCAUCUUAUAGUCUACUAGGGUUUGGAUGUUUGUCCACUCUAAACCUCAUGCUGAAAUUUGAUCCCCAGUGUUGGAAGUGGGGCCUAAUGAGAAAUGUUAGGGUCAUAGGGGUAGAUCCCUCACAAAUAGUUUAAUGCCCUUUCUCAGGAGUGAGUUCUUUAUUAGUUCCCACAAGAGAUAGUUGUUAAAAAGAGCCUGACACCUCCCCUGUUUCUCUCCCUUGGUUCCUCUCUCGUCAUGUGAUCUCUGUAUACGCUGGUUCCCCUUUGCCUUCUGCCAUGAGUGGAAGCAGUCUGAGGCCCUCACCAGAAGCAGAUGCUGGAGCCAUGAUGCACAGCCUCAGAAGUUGGCCCAUCUGGAACAGCUGCUGAAGGAACGCCAGUUGCAGUGGAGGAGGCGAAGCCGGGCUGUGCGCUCCAUGGAGACUGCAGGAGCCGGGAACAGCAAAAGUCCAUCUGAGACCUGCUUUCAUUGCACUGCCUCGUGAGGAGCUGUAGGAGAAGAUAUCAUAACUAUUCCCCACUUCUAAUUGUUAGAAGCAACAGCUGUCUAUCAAGAACAAUCUGAGGAUUGUGCACAAAUUGAUUUGGUUCUAUCAAGUGCUGGCUUUCGAUUCCAGUCUGACUUCACUACCACAGGAGCUUCUUGCUCAGGCUUCUGUUCCGGCUCCAUUCUCUCCCUGCCAUUAUAAUGCCAUCCACUGCAGCACCAUCUCUUCAAUCACUCUUCAGAAAUGCAAAUUGCUGCCUUCAGAAGGAAGCACACGGGCCUAUGAAUUUUAUAUCAGCAGGGAUUACCAAUGAGUCAUGCUUGAUGUUGUAAAAACUAUUCAGGAACCAAGAAAAGGGGCAGAAUAAGUGAGAGAAUGAACGAGAAUGAAAAAAAGAAUAGAACCAGUCGGCCAGUGACAUUUUCUAGUGAAACACAUAUGGGAUGCAAGAAAAGGACUCAGAAAAGCCUUGGGAGUAAAUAUUGAAAUGAUCUUGAAUGAUUUGGCAGGAGAAGAUGUGUCAGCAGGGCUUACCGUAUAGCUCCGAAGGAUGGUGAUGACGACACCACAGACCAAGAUAGUUUACAAAGGCUUAAUGGAGCUCAGAUAUUUGAGAAAAAAAAAAAAAAGAUUAACCAUAUUCAGCUGAGAAAAGGGAACACAAACACAUCUGGGGAAAGUAAUCUUAAAUAAAGAUACUCAGAUGGAGAAAAACAUGUGUCAAGCCUGGACCUGGAGUAAAAGCAGACAGAAAAAAUUUGAGUUGCAAGGGAUUACAACAGCUCAGAAAGGAAAACAUUCAUGAUCUCAUUCCACCUGAAGCCAGUGCCUCUGUAAUGUGUAGCAGAAUCCUAUGGAGAAGUUGUAAAAACACAAAAUGUUGGCCCCACCCCAAGAGUUUCUGAUUUUGCAGGUCUGGAGAGGGCCUGUGAUACGUACUUCUAACAAGCUCCCAGGCGAUGCUAAUGUUGCUGGUCUAGAAACACACUUUGAGAGCCACUGUUUUACAAUGUAUUCACCCAGCUUAUGCAAUCAACUACUAUCACAGCAAAGUCCAAAGAAUGCUCCUUAUUUGUUUGUUAUACUGGAGUUUGGCUUGGCUAAAUAUUAUUUGAAACUGAAUGGCUGUUGA